rnacentral:lncRNA from 1 species
UUAUGCUUUAGUCUAUUUGUAGAAUGAAUUGUGUUAUAUGAUUUAUGGUGUGAUAGCUACUCAUCAGGCUCUGAUUGGACUACUGGACAUGCUGCCAUUGACCUCUUAGGGAAUCUUCAGUGCCGGAUCCAGCAAAUAUUGUCUUCUAAAGGUUGAUGGCAGCACUUCCAUUGACUUCAGAACCUGAUGAGAAUGAAAACAGCUUCAUACACCAAAGAAUGAGUUCAUUUCAAGUGUUUACAUGAUGGCACAUGUGAGUAAUUAGAAGAUCAAAUGGUAAGUUGACCGUUACAAGAUCCUACUUUUAAUGAUCUGAUUCCUACUUUCCUCCUACUUUUCUCCUACUUUUUUAUGUUAGAGGCUCCUACUUUUCUCCUAUUUUUUCUUCAAAAGUCACUGGAAAGCCUGAAAUAAAGUAGAUUUAGUUGUGUAUUUUGAUAAAUUUUG